AGUUACACACUGGGGCUUAUGGGAAAGAGAAAAGGAAAACUAAUAAUUGGCAAGUUAGUUACAGAUAAUGGUGUGCUGGUGACAUUCACAGAACAUCUAUGACAAGUAUUUUUAUGAAUUGAAGAAAGUACCGACUAUUUUCCAACAGUUUUUUUUCCCCCCCUGGGGAGAGGGGAAUGAGGUAGUGAAAAAUUGUGAGUAUAAAAUUUUGGAUAUAUUAAUUCACUUCAUUGUAGAAGAAAAGCUGUUGUUAAAAUAGACUAAUGUUAAAUGUAGAAAAAUUUUAUGUGCAGAUGAACAAGGCUUUUUCCUUUGUUUUACUUUAUGCCAAAUGCUGAUCUGGGAUAAAAGUGGUGUAUAAGAAAUAAGCAGUUUCAGCCGGGCAGUGGUGGUACAUGCCUUUAAUCCCAGCACUCGGGAGGCAGAGGCAGGCAGAUUUCUGAGUUCGAGGCCAUCCUGGUCUACGAGUGAGUUCCAGGACAGCUGGAGCUAUGCAGAGAAACCCUGUCUCGAAAAACCAAAAAAAAAAAAAAAAAAAAAAAAAAAAAAAAGAACAAAAAAGAAAUAAGCAGUUUCAAAGAUCUUCAUCAGCUGCUGUGGGCCCCCACUUUUCAACAUCCUGGGAUGGGGGUUCAGGCAGGCAGCCCUCCCUACACACUUGUAAGAGAAAUCUGCCCCUCAGAUGGCUUGAUUUGUUUUUGGAUUACUCUGCUUGUUACAGAGUUCUUAGUACUCUGUUGAAGAAAAGUUUACCUCAGGGAGAGUAUUAGCUGUAAUAGAUCAGAAUGAGCCUUAAAAACCGAUCAAGGUCUCGUCACUACCUAAACCAGUUAAGUCACUGGGAACGGGACCCAAGCCCCAGGGAGUUUCAGGGACAGCCAGGACUGCUAACCCCUGCACACUCUCCCAGAAGCCUAUUAAAUCUUAAAAGGCUGCUUCCUGUUUCACCUUCUCUUCCCCAAGGACAUUAUCUCGUGGUCUCCACAGGAAGAGGCUCACAUGGUUGAAAGUUUUGGAAGAUGAGUGUCGAUUUGUACUGACAUCAUUAUAACAGCAUGCAUCUGUU
rnacentral:lncRNA from 1 species